rfam:Rhizobium freirei PRF 81 Cont726, whole genome shotgun sequence.
GCGGACGUGGCGAAACUGGUAGACGCAAGGGACUUAAAAUCCCUCGGCCUUUGGCUGUACGGGUUCGACCCCCGUCGUCCGCA